rnacentral:rRNA from 1 species
GACGAACGCUGGCGGCGUGCUUAACACAUGCAAGUCGAACGGAAAGACCCUGCUUUUGUGGGGUGCUCGAGUGGCGAAGGGGGGAGUAACACGUGAAUAACCUGCCCUUGACUUUGGGAUAACUUCAGGAAAGUGGGGCUAAUAUCGGAUAGGAGCUCAUGCUGCAUGGUGGGGGUUGGAACGUUUCGGCGGGUGGGGAUGGAUGAGCGGCUUAUCAGCUUGUUGGUGGGGUAGUGGCUUACCCAGGCUUUGAACGGUAGCCGGCCUGAGAGGGGGACCGGCCACAUUGGGACUACGAUACGCCCCAGACUCCUACGGGAGGCAGCAGUGGGGAAUAUUGCACAAUGGGCGGAAGCCUGAUGCAGCAACGCCGCGGUCGGGAUGACGGCCUGCGGGUUGUAAACCGCUUUCGCCUGUGACGAAGCGUGAGUGACGGUAAUGGGUAAAGAAGCACCGGCUAACUACGUG